rnacentral:rRNA from 1 species
GAUGAACGCUGGCGGCGUGCCUAAUACAUGCAAGUCGAGCGAACGGACGAGAAGCUUGCUUCUCUGAUGUUAGCGGCGGACGGGUGAGUAACACGUGGAUAACCUACCUAUAAGACUGGGAUAACUUCGGGAAACCGGAGCUAAUACCGGAUAAUAUUUUGAACCGCAUGGUUCAAAAGUGAAAGACGGUCUUGCUGUCACUUAUAGCUGGAUCCGCGCUGCAUUAGCUAGUUGGUAAGGUAACGGCUUACCAAGGCAACGAUGCAUAGCCGACCUGAGAGGGUGAUCGGCCACACUGGAACUGAGACACGGUCCAGACUCCUACGGGAGGCAGCAGUAGGGAAUCUUCCGCAAUGGGCGAAAGCCUGACGGAGCGACGCCGCGUGAGUGAUGAAGGUCUUCGGAUCGUAAAACUCUGUUAUUAGGGAAGAACAUAUGUGUAAGUAACUGUGCACAUCUUGACGGUACCUAAUCAGAAAGCCACGGCUAACUACGUG